ACUGGUUUCAUCUAAUGGUAAGAUGAUAGUCUCCAAAACUAUUCAUUAAGGUUCGAGUCCUUAAGCCAGUG
rfam:Chitinophaga pinensis DSM 2588, complete genome.